rnacentral:rRNA from 1 species
AUUACCGAGUUUACAACUCCCAAACCCAUGUGAACAUACCUAUUGUUGCUUCGGCGGGAUUGCCCCGGGCGCCUCGCGUGCCCCGGAUCAGGCGCCCGCCUAGGAACUUUAACUCUUGUUUUAUUUUGAAUCUUCUGAGUAGUUUUUACAAAUAAAUAAAAACUUUCAACAACGGAUCUCUUGGUUCUGGCAUCGAUGAAGAACGCAGCGAAAUGCGAUAAGUAAUGUGAAUUGCAGAAUUCAGUGAAUCAUCGAAUCUUUGAACGCACAUUGCGCCCGCCAGUAUUCUGGCGGGCAUGCCUGUCUGAGCGUCAUUUCAACCCUCAUGCCCCUAGGGCGUGGUGUUGGGGAUCGGCCAAAGCCCGCGAGGGACGGCCGGCCCCUAAAUCUAGUGGCGGACCCGUCGUGGCCUCCUCUGCGAAGUAGUGAUAUUCCGCAUCGGAGAGCGAUGAGCCCCUGCCGUUAAACCCCCAACUUUCCAAGGUUGACCUCAGAUCAGGUAGGAAUACCC